UCUAACAUUACCCAAGGGAAACAUGUACAAGUGCAGGAGUGGCAGGGAGCUGGGGACAGCAUUGCUAACAAACCUAUUGAGGGAGAAUGGUUAACAACUACUGAUGAUUUUACUAGCUGGCCACAUGCAAUAAGGCUGAGCUAUUUUUUUUUUCUUUAUUCUGAUGAAUUAUGCCAAGCCUGUAAUGAUGUAGAAGAAAUCAAGCUUCGCAAGGCUGAGACUGCUGCCUUGGGGCAAUUUCAGAAAUUGGAUGAAAUCAUGAAGGCUUGUGCUAAGCAUCUAAAAUUGCAACUUCCAGCCAAGGAUAAUGUGGUUCACUGCAUUAAGGAUGAUCUUAAUAAAACCGUGUGUGGCAGACAUGUUAGUAGAUAAGGUUUUAUUCAUCUCUUGCUUUCCCACUUACUCCAUUGAGAUAAAUUGGUUUAGAUGAAGGGAAACUAAGUUCACCAACUUCCUAUCCUGAUCCUUGUUUCCUGUUGAAAAGAGGAUGUUCCCUUAGGAUGGAAAGCGUAUGAUGAACCAUAGAUGAACUAUACAGACCAUUUCAGGUCAGCAUAUGAUUAACCAGAGAUGAACCAUACAGACCAUUUCAGGUCAAAUUCUUGUUCCUUUUCAUCAACAUAGAAAAAACAGGUUUGAACCAUCAAACCCUAAGCUUUACUACUGAGUUAAUGUAGAUUAUUCAAAGUCUGUUUGAUUGGUAGUGGGAAACAGUAAAAAUAUCAGGCUGUUAAGUCAAUAGGGCUGAGUAAUUUGUGUCUGUGAUUCUGAUUUUAUAUCAUCCUUUAAUCAGAAAUUAUAAACUGAAUCUUGAUUUCUUCUUAAAACUGGCAUGGGUGGAGGGCGCACUCCAAGCAACUUUGUAAAGUUUAUUCUUCUACUUAUGUAUGUUUCUGCUUGUUACCUCUGCUAUACGUAAGGAAUUUUGUUACUGAUCAGAGAGCAAGGAAGGGAAAUGUACAUAAAAAAAAAAACCCA